rnacentral:rRNA from 1 species
GACGAACGCUGGCGGCGUGCUUAACACAUGCAAGUCGAACGGUGAAGGGACCGGUUUUUGCUGGUUCUGGAUGAGUGGCGAACGGGUGAGUAACACGUGAGUAACCUGCCCCCUUCUUCUGGAUAACCGCAUGAAAGUGUGGCUAAUACGGGAUAUUCUGCGCCUGCUGCAUGGUGGGUGUGGGAAAGAUAUUGUUUCGGUGGGGGAUGGGCUCGCGGCCUAUCAGCUUGUUGGUGGGGUGAUGGCCUACCAAGGCGGUGACGGGUAGCCGGCCUGAGAGGGUGGACGGUCACACUGGGACUGAGACACGGACCAGACUCCUACGGGAGGCAGCAGGGGGGAAUAUUGCACAAUGGGCGCAAGCCUGAUGCAGCGACGCCGCGUGAGGGAUGGAGGCCUUCGGGUUGUAAACCUCUUUCGCCAGUGAAGCAGGCCUGUCCCUUUUGUGGGUGGGUUGACGGUAGCUGGAUAAGAAGCGCCGGCUAACUACGUG